UUAAGUUAUUAAGGGCGCACGGUGGAUGCCUUGGCACUAGAAGCCGAUGAAGGACGUUACUAACGACGAUAUGCUUUGGGGAGCUGUAAGUAAGCUUUGAUCCAGAGAUUUCCGAAUGGGGAAACCCAGCAUGAGUUAUGUCAUGUUAUCGAUAUGUGAAUACAUAGCAUAUCAGAAGGCACACCCGGAGAACUGAAACAUCUUAGUACCCGGAGGAAGAGAAAGAAAAUUCGAUUCCCUUAGUAGCGGCGAGCGAAACGGGAAGAGCCCAAACCAACAAGCUUGCUUGUUGGGGUUGUAGGACACUCUGUACGGAGUUACAAAGGACGACAUUAGACGAAUCAUCUGGAAAGAUGAAUCAAAGAAGGUAAUAAUCCUGUAGUCGAAAAUGUUGUCUCUCUUGAGUGGAUCCUGAGUACGACGGAGCACGUGAAAUUCCGUCGGAAUCUGGGAGGACCAUCUCCUAAGGCUAAAUACUCUCUAGUGACCGAUAGUGAACCAGUACCGUGAGGGAAAGGUGAAAAGCACCCCCCGGAAGGGGAGUGAAAUAGAACCUGAAACCGUGUGCUUACAAGUAGUCAGAGCCCGUUAAUGGGUGAUGGCGUGCCUUUUGUAGAAUGAACCGGCGAGUUACGAUUUGAUGCAAGGUUAAGCAGUAAAUGUGGAGCCGUAGCGAAAGCGAGUCUGAAUAGGGCGUUUAGUAUUUGGUCGUAGACCCGAAACCAGGUGAUCUACCCUUGGUCAGGUUGAAGUUCAGGUAACACUGAAUGGAGGACCGAACCGACUUACGUUGAAAAGUGAGCGGAUGAACUGAGGGUAGCGGAGAAAUUCCAAUCGAACCUGGAGAUAGCUGGUUCUCUCCGAAAUAGCUUUAGGGCUAGCCUCAAGUGAUGAUUAUUGGAGGUAGAGCACUGUUUGGACGAGGGGCCCCUCUCGGGUUACCGAAUUCAGACAAACUCCGAAUGCCAAUUAAUUUAACUUGGGAGUCAGAACAUGGGUGAUAAGGUCCGUGUUCGAAAGGGAAACAGCCCAGACCACCAGCUAAGGUCCCAAAAUAUAUGUUAAGUGGAAAAGGAUGUGGCGUUGCCCAGACAACUAGGAUGUUGGCUUAGAAGCAGCCAUCAUUUAAAGAGUGCGUAAUAGCUCACUAGUCGAGUGACACUGCGCCGAAAAUGUACCGGGGCUAAACAUAUUACCGAAGCUGUGGAUUGUCCUUUGGACAAUGGUAGGAGAGCGUUCUAAGGGCGUUGAAGCAUGAUCGUAAGGACAUGUGGAGCGCUUAGAAGUGAGAAUGCCGGUGUGAGUAGCGAAAGACGGGUGAGAAUCCCGUCCACCGAUUGACUAAGGUUUCCAGAGGAAGGCUCGUCCGCUCUGGGUUAGUCGGGUCCUAAGCUGAGGCCGACAGGCGUAGGCGAUGGAUAACAGGUUGAUAUUCCUGUACCACCUAUAAUCGUUUUAAUCGAUGGGGGGACGCAGUAGGAUAGGCGAAGCGUGCGAUUGGAUUGCACGUCUAAGCAGUAAGGCUGAGUAUUAGGCAAAUCCGGUACUCGUUAAGGCUGAGCUGUGAUGGGGAGAAGACAUUGUGUCUUCGAGUCGUUGAUUUCACACUGCCGAGAAAAGCCUCUAGAUAGAAAAUAGGUGCCCGUACCGCAAACCGACACAGGUAGUCAAGAUGAGAAUUCUAAGGUGAGCGAGCGAACUCUCGUUAAGGAACUCGGCAAAAUGACCCCGUAACUUCGGGAGAAGGGGUGCUCUUUAGGGUUAACGCCCAGAAGAGCCGCAGUGAAUAGGCCCAAGCGACUGUUUAUCAAAAACACAGGUCUCUGCUAAACCGUAAGGUGAUGUAUAGGGGCUGACGCCUGCCCGGUGCUGGAAGGUUAAGAGGAGUGGUUAGCUUCUGCGAAGCUACGAAUCGAAGCCCCAGUAAACGGCGGCCGUAACUAUAACGGUCCUAAGGUAGCGAAAUUCCUUGUCGGGUAAGUUCCGACCCGCACGAAAGGCGUAACGAUUUGGGCACUGUCUCAACGAGAGACUCGGUGAAAUCAUAGUACCUGUGAAGAUGCAGGUUACCCGCGACAGGACGGAAAGACCCCGUGGAGCUUUACUGUAGCCUGAUAUUGAAAUUCGGCACAGCUUGUACAGGAUAGGUAGGAGCCUUUGAAACGUGAGCGCUAGCUUACGUGGAGGCGCUGGUGGGAUACUACCCUAGCUGUGUUGGCUUUCUAACCCGCACCACUUAUCGUGGUGGGAGACAGUGUCAGGCGGGCAGUUUGACUGGGGCGGUCGCCUCCUAAAAGGUAACGGAGGCGCUCAAAGGUUCCCUCAGAAUGGUUGGAAAUCAUUCAUAGAGUGUAAAGGCAUAAGGGAGCUUGACUGCGAGACCUACAAGUCGAGCAGGGUCGAAAGACGGACUUAGUGAUCCGGUGGUUCCGCAUGGAAGGGCCAUCGCUCAACGGAUAAAAGCUACCCCGGGGAUAACAGGCUUAUCUCCCCCAAGAGUUCACAUCGACGGGGAGGUUUGGCACCUCGAUGUCGGCUCAUCGCAUCCUGGGGCUGUAGUCGGUCCCAAGGGUUGGGCUGUUCGCCCAUUAAAGCGGUACGCGAGCUGGGUUCAGAACGUCGUGAGACAGUUCGGUCCCUAUCCGUCGUGGGCGUAGGAAAUUUGAGAGGAGCUGUCCUUAGUACGAGAGGACCGGGAUGGACAUACCUCUGGUGUACCAGUUGUCGUGCCAACGGCAUAGCUGGGUAGCUAUGUGUGGACGGGAUAAGUGCUGAAAGCAUCUAAGCAUGAAGCCCCCCUCAAGAUGAGAUUUCCCAACUUCGGUUAUAAGAUCCCUCAAAGAUGAUGAGGUUAAUAGGUUCGAGGUGGAAGCAUGGUGACAUGUGGAGCUGACGAAUACUAAUCGAUCGAAGACUUAAUCAA
rnacentral:rRNA from 1 species